AAUACUCUGAUGUCAGCGCUGUUGGGCAGACCUUUGGGGUUCUUCACUGGUGGGUCUUUAUUGACCAACUUGGUGGCGCUUUCGGCUAUGCAGCCGUCUUCAGCUGGAAUACAAAUGGAAUCCAUUUGUAUUCCAGCUGAGGAUGGCUGUAUGGCCGAGGGCGCUGCUAAGUUGGUUAGUGGGGACUUGUUGGUGAAGAGCCCCAAAGGUCUGCUCAGUGGUGCUGGCAUCAGAGUAUUAAUUUUGAAGUACCGAAAAGAGCAGUUUCGACAGUUUCCUACAGUUAAAACAUAAAUAUUGCAAAAUGCAUCAAUAAUACGGUGAUAUAAUGUGAAAGCAAAGCAUUGUAUUAAAAAUUAUAUUUUCGUAAUUGUUUUAUAUUAUUGAUUUGAUUAAAUUUAAUUGAAAUCUUCCAAAUCAAUAAUAUAAAACAUAAAUUAAUACUCUGAUGUCGGCACUGUUGAGCAGACCUUUGGGGUUCUUCACUAGUAGGUCUUUAUUAACCAACUUAGUGGCGCUUUCGGCUAUACAGCCGUCUUCGGCUGGAGUGCAAAUGGAAUCUCUGGCGAAGCUUUUACAUAACAUUCCAUGGAGCGUGACAUCUCGAUGUUUUAAAUCAAAAAUUCUUUCGAAUGCAGAAAUGUAUAGGCU
rnacentral:lncRNA from 1 species